rnacentral:rRNA from 1 species
AUUGAACGCUGGCGGCAGGCUUAACACAUGCAAGUCGAGCGGAGAUGAGGUGCUUGCACCUUAUCUUAGCGGCGGACGGGUGAGUAAUGCUUAGGAAUCUGCCAUUUAGUGGGGGACAACAUUCCGAAAGGAAUGCUAAUACCGCAUACGUCCUACGGGAGAAAGCAGGGGAUCUUCGGACCUUGCGCUAAAUGAUGAGCCUAAGUCGGAUUAGCUAGUUGGUGGGGUAAAGGCCUACCAAGGCGACGAUCUGUAGCGGGUCUGAGAGGAUGGUCCGCGCGAGUGGGACUGGGACACGGCCCAGACUCCUACGGGAGGCAGCAGGGGGGAAUAUUGGACAAUGGGCGGAAGCCUGAUCCAGCCAUGCCGCGUGUGUGAAGAAGGCCUUUUGGUUGUAAAGCACUUUAAGCGAGGAGGAGGCUACUAGUACUAAUACUACUGGAUAGUGGACGUUACUCGCAGAAUAAGCACCGGCUAACUCUGUGCCAGCCGCCGCCGUAA